AUUAAGAAUAUUAAUGCUAGUAAAUCAUAAUAACAAAAUAAUAAUAGCAAAAUACCUAUUGGCACCACUGUUUCCUGAACCAUUUCCCCCUCAGUACAUUUAUAUUGUUUCUACAAUAUGCAUUUGAUUCCUUGGAGGCACAUUAUGCAGGUUUGUACCAUUUUGAGGUAUGUUUUUUGUAGAUGAAAACUUCUUUUUUAUUUAUUUAUUUUAAGGCACGUGGUCAUGUGAAGGACAGAUAAACACACUAGUUGUUCCCACUAGAUGGCUGUUUACUACUGUGAUCCAGGCAUGAAAGAGCAGUUUUUAUAACACAGUGUCGCCAAAUAUAUUCCCAAAAUACAUCCGUUAACAAGCUAGCUAUCGGUGCCAGCUGUGUGUUCACAAAGCAAGUCUGUGUCGGUUUUUUUUUUUGCGAGCUAGCUUGCUAGCUCAAGUUGAAAUGUCCUUGCUGCUUUUUAAAAAUGACAUAAACAUUUCUAAAGGCUAAAGUGAACAGACACAAGCUAAGAUGAAUUUCUCAGUAACACUUUGCAAAGCAGAUUUCAGAUUCAAACGGUAAGUGUGUGUGUGUGUGUGUGUGUGUGUGUGUGCUGCAGACACCUUUUCACACUGAGGUAUGAGUGGAGUGAACAGUAGCACACAGCAGUAAACACACACACACAGAAAUAAAGGCUCCUCAACACAAUACCCUCUAACGAGUUAGCACUUCAUGGCAACCCAAAUAUAAUCAAAUAAGCUAGCAGCUUGUCUCUUGGUGCACCUUAGUGUAAAUGCGUUUGAUCCUUCAGUGCCUGGUAUAAAGGGCUUUGUCACACUGAUUUUGCAUCUUUGAUCCUGUGCAUCUUUGUUAUUCUGGCUCGCAGCUGUUGUGUUUCAAGACAUGGCAUAUGAAGAUGGACCCCUGCAAGGUUGAUGCUAUGUCAAAUCAUCUAAUGCUUUCUGCAGUGAUAAAAUAAUCACACAAUGAGAGCAUCAGUUCCAGUUUUAAAUGUCCGCAGUGUGGCACAGAACUCAACACAAGUUAUCACACUUACUGUGAGUCACUUGUUUCUCUGCAUUUUAAAAGCACAACUUGUAAAUGAAUGGUUUCGGAAUGCAAAAUGUGGGUUACCAGAUGGUCGGGAAGGAUCAUGUGACAAAACUUAGAGCUGAGGUUUCUUAGUGAGUUCACGUGAUAGCAGUAUUCUUUAUACUGUGUACAAUUAUGUUUUUAAAAACUGCCUUGUUUUCUUUUAUAUAUUUGUUUUGUACAAUUCAGUCAGCCAAAGGAUCUAGCAUUUCCAAUUUCCAAAGUAGCAUUCCUAUUUUUGGACUUCUUUUGCUGAAGCCACCACAUAUGGGUCAUCAGUGAUGAGUUUUGUUAUAAAUAAGCAGGCAAGAGAAAAACAAGCAAACAUGUCACAACGAUAACUCGUCUGUCAAUCACCCUGGUGUUAUUUUUGAAUAUGCUAUUCCUGGAUGUAAGGACACAGUUGCCAGUUAGAAGGAAAAGUAUUCCAACCCAGAGAUGUAAAAGACGUAAGUGGAAAGCAAUAUGCUUUUUUGGUUUCAUCAGCUCAGAACUGUCACUAAUCAAAAUAUUUAAAAAUGUUUGACUAAUGUGCUAUGUAAUCAUAUGAUCUGUGGGAACAGCCAUUUUAAGUAUACGGAAUACUGUACACUAACUAUAAUUUGAAUACAUAUGAAUAUAACUAUAACUGUCAAUUUGUAUUUUUAUUUCCAAUUAAAGUACUUAGUAGUUACACAAUAUGCAACAAUUCGUUUUUUUAUGAGCAACUACUUUUGCUAUCAUUUUAAAAAUUAAUUUUGAUGUAAUAUGGUCAUGUAAAGGACAUAAAACACACCUGUCGUUCCAACCAGCUAUCCAGGCUAUGACCCAUGUAGAUCAGUUGUCCAGGUGGGGAAAGUAUGCCACUUAGCAAGCGUUUGUCAGUGCCAAAUGGCUAUUAGUGGUGACUGCAAGGUUUCUGAAUGCUUUUUAGGUUGGCAGCUAGUAGGCUUUAGAUCAAAACUCCAUAAUGCUGACGGCCUAUGGCAGAUAUGACUAGAGAGUCCGAUUAGGUUUGUGAAAUGAGUGACUUUUUCUUACUCUUAACACUUGG
ensembl:lncRNA